rnacentral:rRNA from 1 species
AGAGUUUGAUCCUGGCUCAGGAUGAACGCUGGCGGCGCGCUUAACACAUGCAAGUCGAAUGGGUUUAGAUCCAUGGCGAACGGGUGAGUAAUGCGCAGGGAAUUUCCCCGAAGUUUGGCAUACCCAGCCGAAAGGUUGGAUAAUUCCAAAUGGUUCUCGAGCAAUCGGGAUAAAGAUUUAUCGCUUCGGGAGGUACCUGCGUCCUAUCAGCUUGUUGGUGAGGUAAUGGCUCACCAAGGCUACGACGGGUAGCUGGUCUUAGAGGAUGAUCAGCCACACAGGAACUGAGACACGGCCCUGACUCCUACGGGAGGCAGCAGUUGGGAAUCGUGCGCAAUGGACGAAAGUCUGACGCCGCGACGCCGCGUGCAGGAAGACGGCCUUCGGGUUGUAAACUGCUUUUAUAGGGGACAAUUAUGAUGGUACCUUAUGAAUAAGUGACUGCUAACUAUGUGCCAGCAGCAGCGGUAAUACAUAGGUCACAAGCGUUAUCCGGAAUUAUUGGGCGUAAAGGGUCUCUAGGUGGUAAAGCGGGUCUUUGGUAAAAGUCUCAAGCUUAACUUGAGUUUCGCCAAAGAAACUACUUUGCUCGAGGAUAGCAGGGGUAGACGGAAUUCCCGGUGUAGCAGUGAAAUGCGUUGAUAUCGGGAAGAACACCAAUGGCGCAGGCAGUCUACUAGGCUAUUCCUGACACUGAAGGACGAAAGCGUGGGGAGCGAACGGGAUUAGAUACCCCGGUAGUCCACGCUGUAAACGAUGCAGACUAGGCAUCGGGAGUAUCGACCCUCCCUGUGUCGAAGCUAACGCGUGAAGUCUGCCGCCU